UCAGAAAAGAUAAAAUUAUCAUUUUAAACUCCCAAAGUUUAGGUUUUAGCUUAAACUAUUUUCUG